UGGAGUACAAUCUCAAUAAGAAAGAGAGAGAAUAUUCUUGCCAAUGGACAAGACAAGAACACAAUGAAUGAUCAUAAAUGUUACUUGUAGUCAAAUGUGUUUUACAAAUGAAUAGAAUAAGGUAUUUAUAGCCUAGAGGGGAGAUUGGACUGUUUUGAGUUUCAAAACUGCACGCCAGCUAUGCGGUUAGUGGGGCGACGGGAUAACAAUUACUAUGGUUGCAUAACACGAUCUCAGGAAGGAUCCAGAUACAGUUGAGUUCGACACCGAAGGUGUUUGAUCAGCUCUGGGUGCGUACUCUUCCGGUUGCUCUUGUUUCGAAUUGAAUAGGUGGUCCCGGUCACGGUUCUUAUGCUCUCAGGUCUUAUCUUCCGUGCUCAUAGGUCCAAAACCGCUUCCACCACGUGCCACCGUUUUGCUGUGCCAUACGGCAAGGCCAAAGUUUUUCAAUACAGAUACUCCCCCUACUUGUUAGGUAGUUCUCCGGAAAGUGACCAAAAAGUGAAUCUUUUGACAUGAGUUAAUCUUGUUCAAAAUCCUUCCUAGAUUAGAAAAGAAUCUCAGCAAUAUCUCGCUAUUAACGUGAUAAGACCUAUGAUUGUGAUGUUGUUGCAGUCUUCAUUUAUUGACGGGGACACAUGGAGAUUCCUACCUAGCCAUGUGAUUGAUUACAAUCCCCCAUGUCAUUAUGACUGUUUUAAUGAUAGAAGAUUUUCCUGAUUCCGACGGUUACGAAAAGUUGGCCUUGCCUAUGUAUAGAUACAGAUUCUCUUCGUUUGCUAAUUACUUUUUCUAAUUCUAUUUAACUUUCUUGACUUUUGCCAAACCUUUUUCUGCUUUUCUUGUUUCUUCUUUCGCCAUUACCAUAGAUUCUCAAAACCCUAAUUUUUUAGCAGUUGCAGAUUUUUCCUACCAAACCAGAUGAGCGAUAUCGCCGAUCCUCUAGAGGAUAUUUCUUCUAUCUUACCUCUAGAAGGAGUUCCUUCUGCUGCACCCUUAGAAGAAGUUCCUUCUACUUCCUGUGAGAAAGGGAAGAAAGCUCUGAAAUCACAUAAAGGUAGGAAAGGGAUGCAUGGUACUGAGCCCCUAGUCUCUAACAUUCUACCCAAGUAAUUAAAUUUGAAGUGGAUGUGAAGUUGUUGAUUAGGGGGCCGGUGCAAUUUGUGGGUACUCAUGUGACCAACUUUGACUCUCUGGUUCGUGAAAAUCACAUCCCCCUUAUUCGGAGGGAAUGCCAUUGAGCAUUUUCUCUAUCUCUAAGCCUCAAGGCCAUUGGGGGCAUCAUUGUUAUUAUCUUCAACCAUGAUACACAAGCACUUGUGAACACGGAGGAUGAUUACGAUAGAGGCUAUUACGACCAAUUUGUCGCUGCCCCGGCCCAUGAGCUGAUCUCUUCCGAGGACUCUCCCUUUUCAGAGAGGUGAAACGAUAAGCGAUUCCGGCAGCAGUGAGAGGUUUCUGGCAUUGAGAAAUUGGUUAAGAAGAAUCUAUUAUCCUCCCCAAAAACCGAGAGGUCUUAGAAGUACAUCUUGGAGGUAUCGGGAUAGAGAGCUAAGAACUACAGUAAGCUUUUGUGUCUAUCAACCCUUCCCCUUAAUGUUUCACGUUUUCAUACCUCUUUCUGUUUUUGUAUGAAUUGCUCCGAGGAAGUCCCCGCCUCAAGUGUUAUAAAUUUCCCUAUAUAUUGAUUCUUCCCAAGAUAAGAUCCAACAGUUAUCCACCAUGAUGAGGGAGGAGAGUUCAUUGAAACCUGCAUCGGUGAGUAGUCCUGCGGGCCUUCCAAAGAGGAGGAUGAGAUCUAGCUUCAGGAUAGGUCUGAGGGUGCUCGAGGCAGUCCCCAAAUUAACCUUCAAAGUGUACAUCCUCAAGAUAGCGAACCCAUAAUGACUGAGGAUGAGGAAAUGGAGUCCCAGGGUAUAAAGCCAGCAAUAGUUGAAUCUUCUACUCUGGAUCAAGGGAAAGGUGUUGCAAGGGAAGGAUGCCAUGUAGUUGACAGAGUUGGUCGGCCCUUGGAGAGAGAAAAAGUGGACAACCAAUCCAACAUCAAUCUUGUGAACGACGUAUUUCAUUGCACCCUUCGGCCAACUUAGCUUCAACCCAGGUUAGGAGAAGGUUCUUACAUCAUAAGGAAACAUAGGCAGAACUGAAAGAAAGUGUUACACCCUGUGCAUCCCAAGGGUUGGCGAGCUAGUUAUCAUAAGCUUGUUGUUGAGUUGCAUUGACGACUUGAGGUAUGUUAAGGCUAUCCAUUCUUUC